UAGCAGAGGGGCAGCGUUGUUCGGAAUUACUGGGCGUAAAGGGCGCGUAGGCGGGAUGGCAAGUCGGUCGUGAAAUCCCUCGGCUCAACGAGGAACGUCGAUCGAUACUGCUGUUCUUGAGGAUUGCAGAGGAGACUGGAAUUCCCGGUGUAGCGGUGAAAUGUGUAGAGAUCGGGAGGAACACCGGUGGCGAAGGCGGGUCUACUGGGCAAUUC
rnacentral:rRNA from 1 species